GUUAAGCGACUAAGCGUACACGGUGGAUGCCCUGGCAGUCAGAGGCGAUGAAGGGCGUGCUAAUCUGCGAUAAGCGCCGGUAAGGUGAUAUGAACCGUUAUAACCGGCGAUACCCGAAUGGGGAAACCCAGUGUGAUUCGUCACACUAUCAUUAACUGAAUCCAUAGGUUAAUGAGGCGAACCGGGGGAACUGAAACAUCUAAGUACCCCGAGGAAAAGAAAUCAACCGAGAUUCCCCCAGUAGCGGCGAGCGAACGGGGAGGAGCCCAGAGCCUGAAUCAGCAUGUGUGUUAGUGGAAGCGUCUGGAAAGGCGCGCGAUACAGGGUGACAGCCCCGUACACAAAAGCGCAUGUGCUGUGAGCUCGAUGAGUAGGGCGGGACACGUGGUAUCCUGUCUGAAUAUGGGGGGACCAUCCUCCAAGGCUAAAUACUCCUGACUGACCGAUAGUGAACCAGUACCGUGAGGGAAAGGCGAAAAGAACCCCGGCGAGGGGAGUGAAAAAGAACCUGAAACCGUGUACGUACAAGCAGUGGGAGCACAGGUUUACCUGUGUGACUGCGUACCUUUUGUAUAAUGGGUCAGCGACUUAUAUUCUGUAGCAAGGUUAACCGUAUAGGGGAGCCGCAGGGAAACCGAGUCUUAAUUGGGCGUUAAGUUGCAGGGUAUAGACCCGAAACCCGGUGAUCUAGCCAUGGGCAGGUUGAAGGUUGGGUAACACUAACUGGAGGACCGAACCGACUAAUGUUGAAAAAUUAGCGGAUGACCUGUGGCUGGGGGUGAAAGGCCAAUCAAACCGGGAGAUAGCUGGUUCUCCCCGAAAGCUAUUUAGGUAGCGCCUCGUGAAUUCAUCUCCGGGGGUAGAGCACUGUUUCGGCUAGGGGGCCAUCCCGGCUUACCAACCCGAUGCAAACUGCGAAUACCGGAGAAUGUUAUCACGGGAGACACACGGCGGGUGCUAACGUCCGUCGUGAAGAGGGAAACAACCCAGACCGCCAGCUAAGGUCCCAAAGUCAUGGUUAAGUGGGAAACGAUGUGGGAAGGCCCAGACAGCCAGGAUGUUGGCUUAGAAGCAGCCAUCAUUUAAAGAAAGCGUAAUAGCUCACUGGUCGAGUCGGCCUGCGCGGAAGAUGUAACGGGGCUAAACCAUGCACCGAAGCUGCGGCAGCGAACGUAUCACUUAAAGCGAUUCAGCGGGUUACGAUUGACGGAGCGAAGCGACGUCAAAGCGUAUACAAAGUCGAGUCGGUUUAAGGAUACGUUCGUUGGGUAGGGGAGCGUUCUGUAAGCCUGUGAAGGUGGCCUGUGAGGGUUGCUGGAGGUAUCAGAAGUGCGAAUGCUGACAUAAGUAACGAUAAAGCGGGUGAAAAGCCCGCUCGCCGGAAGACCAAGGGUUCCUGUCCAACGUUAAUCGGGGCAGGGUGAGUCGACCCCUAAGGCGAGGCCGAAAGGCGUAGUCGAUGGGAAACGGGUUAAUAUUCCCGUACUUGGUGUUACUGCGAAGGGGGGACGGAGAAGGCUAUGUUGGCCGGGCGACGGUUGUCCCGGUUUAAGCGUGUAGGUGUGUGUUCCAGGUAAAUCCGGUUCACUUUAACACUGAGGCGUGACGACGAGGCACUACGGUGCUGAAGCAACAAAUGCCCUGCUUCCAGGAAAAGCCUCUAAGCAUCAGGUAACAUCAAAUCGUACCCCAAACCGACACAGGUGGUCAGGUAGAGAAUACCAAGGCGCUUGAGAGAACUCGGGUGAAGGAACUAGGCAAAAUGGUGCCGUAACUUCGGGAGAAGGCACGCUGACACGUAGGUGAAGUGAUUUACUCAUGGAGCUGAAGUCAGUCGAAGAUACCAGCUGGCUGCAACUGUUUAUUAAAAACACAGCACUGUGCAAACACGAAAGUGGACGUAUACGGUGUGACGCCUGCCCGGUGCCGGAAGGUUAAUUGAUGGGGUCAGCGCAAGCGAAGCUCCUGAUCGAAGCCCCGGUAAACGGCGGCCGUAACUAUAACGGUCCUAAGGUAGCGAAAUUCCUUGUCGGGUAAGUUCCGACCUGCACGAAUGGCGUAAUGAUGGCCAGGCUGUCUCCACCCGAGACUCAGUGAAAUUGAACUCGCUGUGAAGAUGCAGUGUACCCGCGGCAAGACGGAAAGACCCCGUGAACCUUU
rnacentral:rRNA from 1 species